rnacentral:rRNA from 1 species
GACGAACGCUGGCGGCGUGCUUAACACAUGCAAGCCGAGCGGAAAGGCCACUUCGGUGGUACUCGAGCGGCGAACGGGUGAGUAACACGUGAGUAAUCUGCCCCUGGCUUUGGGAUAGCCACCGGAAACGGUGAUUAAUACCGGAUACGACCACUUCUCGCAUGGGAUGGUGGUGGAAAGUUUUUUCGGCCAGGGAUGUGCUCGCGGCCUAUCAGCUUGAUGGUGAGGUAAUGGCUCACCAGGGCUUCGACGGGUAGCCGGGCUGAGAGGGUGACCGGUCACACUGGGACUGAGACACGGCCGAGACUCCUAGGGGAGGCAGCAGUGGGGAAUAUUGGACAAUGGGCGGAAGCCUGAUCCAGCAACGCCGCGUGAGGGAUGACGGCCUUCGGGUUGUAAACCUCUUUCAGCAGGGACGAAGCGCAAGUGACGGUACCUGCAGAAGAAGCACCGGCCAACUACGUGCCAGCAGCCGCCGUAA